ACUCCUCUGCCAAGGCUAGAUCACUGAAAAAACUGAAAGUCCCUCGACUUCAACACGUAGUUCGAGAGACGAUUUCAAGCUGAUAAGAUCGGUUCCGAUAUUGUGCCAAGUACCCUCGUGAAGUAUUGUUCGGUGAUUUUGAAAUUUGUGGUUAAAGUAUUGAAGAAAUGAAAGUUCAAUGGACUCCAAAAAGUAGUUUGAGAGACUAUUUCAAAAGUCGGUUUCGUUAUUUCUUUCAAGCACCGGAGUAUAACUCAUAUAGUGAAUGAUUUUCGAAUUUUUACUACAUAAUAUUUGAGUUCAUUCAAAAUUGUAGGUUGAGCAAUCUAAUUUACAGAGUUUGACUGCAUCCUACAGAAAGUUGGUCUCAAAUUUGCAGUUGUGAGUUCUAUGCAAUGUUAGCUCACAAUCAUGCAAUUGUAAAUUCUAGGCAGUGAGUUCUAUGACAAGUGAAUAAUCGAGACUCAAUAUAAAGUUUGUUGUGGACUUAAUCGAAAAGUUUCUGUAUCGGUGUAUACUUAGUAAUUGAUUUUUACACAUUGUGGCUAGUGUACAAGGGUUCAAAGGUCCUCAAGAUACGUUAUAACGAAGUAUAUUCGUUUUAUAAGGAGUUUACGGUGAUUUGCAAUGGAAAGUUCUUGUGACCGGUUGAUUCGAAGAAAGUUGAUUGAAUUUUGGAACCAAUGAAUAUCUCGAAAAUAUGUACAAUCUCAUUGGUUAAUGUAAUGUCAUUUGCGAAUGAAUGUAAUUUUGAUAUUUACCUGUCAUGCAACUGAACAUGAGCCAGUGCAUUGAUUUUAAAUUAUAAGUUCAGUGAACACUGCCUGAUGGAUCUUGAACACGAUUGGGUACCUUUGAGUCAGACUGAUGUUGCGAAGUAUCGACACAUAGCUGUAAACUCAAUCCUAUUUAAUGAAAAAUUAUAGAAAGGGAAUAGACUUCUAUCACUCCAUUAAGAAGUUCCUUAUGAUGCACAUGUAUGUGGGAGCGAGUGCAACAGUCAGCCAUGAUGGUUACUUACAAACACACACUCACACACGUUAACAACGGAUGUCCGCCGCUGCAACCGAUGAUGAUAAUGAUGAUGAUGAUGAUGAUGAUGAUGAUGAUGAUGAUGAUGCUGUUGACAACGCAAAUUGCCAGUUUCCUGCCAAACGGAUACCAAAGACCCAAGAUCCUAGACGAGCAUCUUGGAAAUGAGUUGAAGCACAAUAGAAUAAAAAAUAUAGUAUUUUAUGUAACAUCAUGAAUUGAAAACAGUUGAGAUAGAGAAUAAUAGAACUGUGAUAAGCAUAGCAAACCCGUUUGGAAAACUAAACAUUGAAUAACGAUAACGCAUAGAUAUCGAAUAAUUUCAAAAAUGGUUUUCAAAUUAAUACCUCAAAUGAGAGCUGGAAUGAAAACUAUUAUCACUCAGAUUUAUUAAAAUUGGACAGUUUUAUAAUUUUAAUGUUCUUGAUUCAAUUUACACUGUUUUCAAAAAUGUUUCUACUGAAGAUGAUGCUAAGUAUGGCGUUGAAACUCGAGUAUAGUUUUUAAUAAACUUAAUCAUUGUGGAUUUGACAAUAUUUGUAUAAUUACAUUUUCACCUCUUCUUGAUUCAACUCCACCACAGUAGAAAUCAAAACAUUGUCGAUUUUUUCGACAAAAUUAAAAAAGCUUAUAUUUGAAGUAAGCUAUGAAAAAUUGAUAAAAUAAUGAUUAUA
rnacentral:lncRNA from 1 species